UAUCGGAUACUGGGCGUAAGCGCACGCAGGCGGUUUGUUAAGUCAGAUGUGAAAUCCCCGGGCUCAACCUGGGAACUGCAUUUGAAACUGGCAAGCUAGAGUCUCGUAGAGGGGGGUAGAAUUCCAGGUGUAGCGGUGAAAUGCGUAGAGAUCUGGAGGAAUACCGGUGGCGAAGGCGGCCCCCUGGACGAAGACUGACGCUCAGGUGCGAAAGCGUGGGGAGCAAACAGGAUUAGAAACCCCGGUAGUC
rnacentral:rRNA from 1 species